AUUUGCAGAAGUACGGCGCUUGUGACCAUUUACGACUUCCUAAUGAGGAAAGGGUGUGAGUUGCGACAUCUCGGGAGAAAGUUGGAAGAUUAGCGAAUUUUCCGCCACAAUGGUCUAGCGAAUAUACAAGGAGCCCUUGCCACUAGGAGGCCAGUUGCUCUGAAUUUUGGCGCCAUGUUUAAACCGAAAUAAAUAGUAGGGAUUAAAUACAGUAUAUAUUUUUCUAGUAUUCUUAAUCAUUGUGUGAAAGUAUGUAAUAAAUCAAUUCACUAUUUCUGUGCA